rnacentral:rRNA from 1 species
UACGUAGGGACCGAGCGUUGUCCGGAUUCAUUGGGCGUAAAGAGCUCGUAGGCGGCUGUUCAAGUCGAACGUGAAAACUCGGAGCUCAACUCCGAGCCUGCGUUCGAUACUGGACGGCUAGAGUCUGGUAGGGGGAUCUGGAAUUCCUGGUGUAGCGGUGGAAUGCGCAGAUAUCAGGAGGAACACCGGUGGCGAAGGCGGUUCUCUGGGCCUGUACUGACGCUGAGGAGCGAAAGCGUGGGGAGCGAACAGG